CAGCUGGAACAGAAUCACUGCAAAAGACCUGAGAAGGUUUCUUCAACCUGGCAGCACCAUACCAGCAGGGAACACGUGAACGGGUCAACAUGACAACAGGUCUUCUCUGAUUUAAGCAUUUGCAGCAAAUCCAGCCAAAAUCACCCAACAAACAAGUUUUCAAGGUAUAAAAAAGGACCCAUCUGCCUGGGACAUCCUCUGGAGCAGACACUUGCAGGUUCUGCAGAGCACGAGCUGAACCCUACGUGGUACGGACUGUCAGCGCUGAAAGAGCUCUGGGAGCCACAAAGAGAUACUUGCAGAAUGCGGUCAGGCUCUCCGAUGUCACCUGCAGGAAUUCUGCUGCGGAUGAAUAAAUGGAAUGACAUGAUCUCAGAUAGGUAUGCCUCUGCCCGUCCUCCUCCCCUCAGCCACACGCAGUCAAAAGUCUGUGAAAUCCCACUGGGACCCCCUGAGAAAUGUUCAUGCUUCCUUCCGAAAGAGUAUAAAAUCUCUUCUGAAACAAAAAUAAGAAUAAUUUGUUGGUGAAAUAAGUUACGUUGGGAAAAAUGCCAUUGGUGAACUCCAGGAAAUCCACAAUGACCGUUCCUGCGUCCA